UGGGGAAUAUUGGUCAAUGGGCGAAAGCCUGAACCAGCAAUGCCGCGUGAGUGAUGAAGGCCUUCGGGUUGUAAAGCUCUGUCAGUGGGAACGAAUAAGUCGAUUAAUACUCGAUGAUGACGGUACCCACAAAGGAAGCACCGGCUAACUCUGUGCCAGCAGCCGCGGUAAUACAGAGGGUGCAAGCGUUGUUCGGAAUUACUGGGCGUAAAGCGCGUGUAGGCGGUCUCGCAAGUCGGGUGUGAAAGCCCUUGGCUUAACCAAGGAACUGCAUUCGAAACUACGAGACUAGAGUAUCGGAGGGGGUGGCGGAAUUCCCGGUGUAGAGGUGAAAUUCGUAGAUAUCGGGAGGAACACCUGUGGCGAAGGCGGCCACCUGGAAGAUUACUGACGCUGAGACGCGAAAGCGUGGGGAGCAAACAG
rnacentral:rRNA from 1 species